AUUCCCUUGACUCAGAUAAUCUGUUAUUCUAUAAAAUGCAUCAUUUUGCAUAGUGCACUUUUAGCAAAUCCACUGGAGUUUGUUGUUGUAAACUUUUACAAAAAAAUUUCUACUCUGAAACCAGUGCAAGUAAACCUUUUUUAACCAAAUAUUAAAUUUUAAUUGAAUAGUUGAUGUUUGAGUGGGAAAAUAUCAAAAUGCACCCAAACCUGUUUAAAAGGUCACCUCCUCUAACUUUUCUUGACCGAUCAUUAACACUUGUCCUGCUGUUAUAAUACCUAUGCCUUCUCAACCUCCAUUCAAAUGUCACUUUUUUUAUACAGACAAAGAUUCAUAACUUUAUACUCCUGCUAAUUUUCAAAAUAAAAAAAUAAAAUUCAAUACUUCAAACUGUUUUGCUUAGUAGAAUCUCAACCGGGUGACCUCCUUAAAUCAAUUGGACUGGUAAACAAAACCAAAUGUCUAAAGUUUCUAAAGCAAAUACAUUUAUAAUAGUGCCUUUAUCAUUAAGCAAUAUAAGGUCUAUACACAGUUUGCUUCAGUUACCAAUUAAAGAAAGAUUUAUUGGUAAAAAUAAGGAUUCAGUAUGUCUCUACAUUAAUUCUGAGUAUCCAUACUGUGUUUGUCUUGU
rnacentral:lncRNA from 1 species